rnacentral:rRNA from 1 species
UACGUAGGUGGCAAGCGUUGUCCGGAAUUACUGGGCGUAAAGCGCGCGCAGGCGGUCUUUUAAGUCUGAUGUGAAAGCCCCCGGCUCAACCGGGGAGGGUCAUUGGAAACUGGGAGACUUGAGUGCAGAAGAGAAGAGUGGAAUUCCACGUGUAGCGGUGAAAUUCGUAGAUAUUGGGAAGAACACCGGUGGCGAAGGCGGCUCACUGGCUCAUUACUGACGCUCAGGCGCGAUAGCGUGGGGAUCAAACAGG